rnacentral:lncRNA from 1 species
GAGAUGGUUUACAGGACUCAGAUCUGAGAGGGACGCAGUCAAAUGGUCUAACCAAGUUUUCUUCAAUCCUAUGUUCUACAUUCUGGUUUUGAUGCCUUGCUGCCUUCGACAUUAAGGUGAGGUCCUCUUCCUCAUACUACUGCCUUCCUUCUAAGGCAUCGCAAUUCCUGGAAUCCUUCUUCCGUUUUUCUUUCGAUUUGAUAUUCUACCUCCUGAAUGAUGAUUACAAGUGCAUGGUUCAUAUGAUCGAAUUGUGAUUGCUUGAACAAAAAUCUGAUGUUACGAGCUUUUAGUGCAAUGAUUUAUGGUUGUGCAUUGAUAUAUUUUGAUAGUGAAACUCACCUCUUAUGUCAAGGUGGGAAGCUUGGCUGAUUCCACCUCCAGUCAGAAGAUUAAUACAUCUAUGGUUUUAUUUUCCAUGCCAACAGCUUGAUUGAUGAUUCCUAAUGCAUCUCAGGUAUUGGUCUCUUCUCCGUAAAUGUAUAUACUUUACCAUGCUAAUUUUGUGUUAACCGUUGCAUAAUAUUUUGCCACUGGAGAUAUAUGAUAUAACAAUUUUUGUUGCUUAUAACAUAAAAAGGUUGCAUGUGUGACGUACUGCUGUUUGUAGCUUUUUGCACUUGUCUAAUUCUUUAAGCCAUAUUCUGCUCAUAAGAGAAUAAUUUACAGUCGGGACCGAUUCAUUAUGACACAUAAUGUAUCAUGCACGACUACAUAACUAGAGAGAAUAAAAUGAUGGAAUAUUCUUCUGUCCAACCAGAAAAAAAUUCUUAUAAUGUGUUUUAUUCAUUUGACAUAUCAAAAUACAUCAGCAUUUAAAGAAGUGGCAAUAAUUAGCCAUCCUCAUGCUGGUGAAUACGCAUUUGGGCUUAUAACAUCGAGCAUGAUUCUUCAGGUACUUGUUUAUGCACAACGCUUUCUACAGAUGGAUUCAUGGCAUCAACAACAUUUGAGUGCUUCAUUCUGGAUAAUUUACUCAUUUAUAUGCUUUCAAGAAUUUUGAUUUAUAAUUUUCAUUAUUAGCUACAUAAAGAUUCAUACCAUACUUGUGUGUGCUCUUUUUCUGUGUUACCUCAUUCUUGAAAUAGUUCACUUUCAAGAAAGUGUUAUCCUUUAGUUGUAAUUUGUGACAACUAAACACUUAAAUCUCAAGAGUGUAAAGGUUCACCCAAAGAAUUAAGUCUAAUGUAGCCUGGCUAGGCUUAUCUUAAUAGUUAGCUUAUCAGGAUUAUCCUAUAGUCUAUAUAUAAGGUGGUUUAAAUCAGUCUCUCGUACAUAAAUUUGUUGUGCAAGCCCUGAAAAGGCCAGCUAGAGAUACUUCAAGGUUAUGGGGCCUUUACACAUUUGCCUGGUAAUGUGAUGUCUUUUAGAGCGAUUCAUUUAACUGCUAAAUCCUAUGAACACUUGCGAAUACUAUAUGUUGUUGUUGUUAGGUUCUCUACCAGAAAUCACUCAGAUAUCAUCUUAUCCUCUUGUUCGCUGUUUUUUUGUAACAUCUCAAUCUAGCAUAAGCUUAUUUUGGUAAUGCCUCCUUUUUGCAGUUGCUAAGUUUGAUGGUCUUUUUAAUAGCACUCUUACUAUAUCACCUGAAUUUCUAAUCUUAAGUUUCUACUAUUAUCUCUCUACAGAAAUAAUUGUUUCUGGAGGAAUGACCAUGCCACAGGUGAUUACCGCGCUAGGACCUGCCCUUGAUAAGAACCAGGGAAACCAUUUAAAAAGAAUGAUGAUUGUGUGAGCCUUUAAAUAUCGCCAACACA